AAAAAUUAUUCUGUGCUGCUUGAUUUUAGUUUUUCAUUGAAAAAAUGAACUAAAAGGUAUAUCUAAAAGGAUAAACAUUAUAUUAUAAAGUUAAGUUUUAAGAAAGAAACGUCUAAUUUUUCCAGUAAUGGUGAUUGAAAAAUUUGUAAGUUAUUACGUGUGAGUACUGUAAAGGAAACGGUUUUAAUUUUAAGUUAGUAGAGAUUUGAUCUUGUACCUUUUGUAUUAUGGUUCUUCUAGAAAGAAAUUUAUUAGUUAAAUAUCCCCGAAAAAGGCUGAGCUAUUUCUUGGCAUAUUAUUACGUCAACGUAGCAAAGUUGUGUAUAGACUGGGAAAUAGGGGUGAAAUGCUUUACGAAGUCUUUGAUUGCUGGUUAAUCAGGAAAUGCAUUAAAGUGCAGGCAGAUUGAAUAUUAGUAUUUUAGUUCAUUAAUUUAUUUUGUUGGGCUAAAAAUAAAAAUUUUGCUGACAUGGAAAAGGAUAAGCUUUUUCAUGAUAUUAAGAGGAGAAUUUAUAGGGACAUACAAUUAAUUCAGUGGGCUUAGAAUUGGUCAUCUGAUAUUAUGAGUUUGUUACAAAUCAGUUGCAAAAAUUGGUCUCAAAAAUCUUUAUUUUUUUUCUCUAAUUAUAAUGGAUAGAGUACUGAUUUAAUUAGUUUGAUUAAAAAAACUAAUUUAUUUCUGGUGAAAUGAGUAUUUAUGUGUGUUAAAUGUUAGGUGUUUAAGUUUGAAUGAAAUUGAAGGAUUUAAUUAAACAGAUAAUUUAAAAAUUUAGUUUUGGUACUGAGCUUAAAUGCUUGGUCUUAGGUUAACGUGUUAUUAAUUUAAAAAAAGGAACUCGGCAAAUACAGCUUCGCCUGUUUAUCAAAAACAUCGCUCUCUGGUAUAAAAUUUAUUAAGAAUAUAGAGAGUCGGGCCUGCCCAGUGACAUUAGUAUGUUAAACGGCCGCGGUACCCUGACCGUGCAAAGGUAGCAUAAUCACUUGCCUUUUGAUUGAGGGCUGGUAUGAAUGGCUUGACGAGAGCUGAACUGUCUCUUUUUAAAUUUGUAAAAAUUAACUUUUAGGUGAAGAGGCCUAGAUUCAACUGAGUGACGAAAAGACCCUAUUGAGCUUUAGUUAAUUAAUAAAAUUUUAACGUUUUGUUUUUUAAGCAUUUAGACUUGCAUGCGUGUUUUGUUAAAAAUCUUUAGUUGGGGUGACUUAGGAGUAAAAAAAACUUCCUUUAAUUAAUUAAGUGUGCAAGGUAUUCAUACUGAUUUUAUAGAUCCAGUAUUUACUGAUCAAAGGAAAAAGUUACCAUAGGGAUAACAGCGUUAUCUUUCUGGAGAGUUCUUAUUGAAGGAAAGGUUUACGACCUCGAUGUUGGACUAAGAUAUCCUAGAGGUGCAGAAGCUUCUAAUGGUUAGUCUGUUCGACUAUUAAAAUCUUACAUGAUCUGAGUUCAGACCGGCGUGAGCCAGGUUGGUUUCUAUCUUCAGUUGAUUUAUAAGUUAAAUUUUUAGUUAGUACGAAAGGACCGCUGUUAAAAUAAAUAAUUUAUAAAUAAAGAAUCCAUUUUAAAAUUGGUUAUUAAAUUUUAGAAAAAUAGAAUGUUUA
rnacentral:rRNA from 1 species